UUCAAGCAAUUCUCCUGCCUCAGCCUCCCUAGCAGCUGGCAUUACAGGCAUGAGCCACCUGGCCCGGGAUCCUGGCCUUUUUAAAUCAGGUUGGACACCAAUUUGCACAUCAGGACCACUGUGGACCAUGGGGCAAUGAAGGUGAAGACUGGAGCACUCAUCACCCAAGACAGGGUUUCAUUUUGUUGCCUGGGCUGGAGUAUAGUG